rnacentral:rRNA from 1 species
UACGGAGGGUGCGAGCGUUGUCCGGAAUCACUGGGCGUAAAGGGCGCGUAGGCGGCGGGGUAAGGCUAUGGUGAAAGCCCGGGGCUCAACCCCGGGUCGGCCGUGGCGACUGCCUCGCUCGAGCACAGUAGAGGCAGGUGGAAUUCCGGGUGUAGCGGUGGAAUGCGUAGAGAUCCGGAAGAACACCGGUGGCGAAGGCGGCCUGCUGGGCUGUGGCUGACGCUGAGGCGCGACAGCGUGGGGAGCAAACAGG